rnacentral:rRNA from 1 species
AACAAACGCUGGCGGCGUGUCUUAAGCAUGCAAGUCGAGCGGCAAGGGCAGCAAUGCCCCUAGAGCGGCGGACUGGUGAGUAACGCGUGGGUAAUCUACCUUGGGCAUGGGGAUAGCCAUUAGAAAUAGUGGGUAAUACCGAAUACGCUGCCUUGGCCACGGCCAGGGUAGGAAAGGCGCUACGGCGCCACCCCUAGAUGAGUCCGCGUCCCAUUAGCUAGUUGGUGAGGUAACGGCCCACCAAGGCGAUGAUGGGUAGCCGGCCUGAGAGGGUGUACGGCCACACUGGGACUGAGAUACGGCCCAGACUCCUACGGGAGGAG